GUUCUCAAACAUAAGCCAAUUCACAUUAAUAGAACACUUUCAUGUGAUCCCAAGGGAAAGAGGUUCCAUACACAAACAAGAAGGAAAGCAAUACGGAGGGUUAUAAAACCAGGGACAGAGUGGUACAUUGUUGUUGUUGCUUUUUUAAUUCUAGGAGGAAAGCUGGUUAUCUGGCUUAACCUAAUUAUUGUGUGAUACUGGAUCUCUUGCAUCACAAUGGGGAAUGAAAACAGCCGCACAGAAAAUCAGUCAGAAGUUGCUGGCACAAAUAAAGUCAUCCUAAUACCACCCAACGAAGGAACACAGCAGAAUAUUUCCUCAGCCCUGGCUCCGGAACCAGGCCAACCACCUGGUAAUGGGCAAGAUAUAAAAAAGAAAAAGCAGGAAAAGAAGAGUACAGACAGAUCUGGUGGUCAAGACGUCUUGAAUCUUCUACCUGCAACUACUGCUGCUCCACCACUGCCUGAUAAUGUCUCACCAUUAACCACAAGAGCUACAAGUUCUGGCAGAGAGAGCUGGUCACUAGUAUCUGAUUUCAAGAAAAGGGAACCUCAGCAAGGGGUUGGGCCCCAUAAUCUUCUUUUUGCUGGUCUGGAUAUUAGUGAAGAUGCAAGUUCUCAGAUCCCAGCUAUAAGCAGCAGUAAUGAAGGCAUCGGUAGCCACACUGCUGAAGGUUUAUCUCAUCCAAAUUCAUGUGCAGUGUCUGCAGAGGUGACGGCACAGAGUAAUAUCCUGCAAGAACAUGGAGAACAAACUGGUUCUGACUUAUUGAUACAGGCUGCAGAAGCAAAGGAGAGAAGCCUACAUAUCUCCAUGCCUUUAGCAGAGUGUGCUAAAGAAUAUGUCACAGCAGAUCUCACGGACAGCAGUGAUGAUUUACCAACCCCAAAGCAUAUUGACCUUGUGCCUUCCCGAAACACUGUGGGUGACAAAGAAAUAGGAACAGCAGAUGCUAUAUUUGUGGACAGUGGCCCAGAAAGUGACAAUAUUGCUGCCUCUUCUAUCAAAAAGAGUGAAAAUGAUCCAGAAAACACAAACUUAGAAACUAGCCCGUCUGCAGAAGCUACUUUGACACAAGGAGUUACACAAACAAAUUCAUGUGAAUUAGAACCAUUAUGGCAGAGUGAACAGCUGGAUCGCAAGAGGGAUUUGCAUGCUGUCUCAUUACCCCAGGGUAAAGAAGCAGGAGAUUACUUUACCACUCAGGAGGCCAAGCAGGGGCCAGGAUUUUUGGAAGUGGGUCAUAAGGAGCAGACUAUAAUACAGCGAGGUGGACAGAAAACAGAUGGCACAGAGUCUCUGUUAAUGAAAAAGGAAACCUUAAUCCUAAAUUAUCCCACAACAGGAGGCUCAGACAGUGAAAAAUAUGGAGCAGUUGUGAAUGUUCAGUGUUUGGUUGAUAACCCUGAGUUCAGUGAUGGCAACAGUUUAUGUAGAGGAGAUAUAACCACAACUAAAGGGAGUGACCCAAACCUACACCUCUCUGAAAACAAUGGAAAGCAACCAGCAGCUUUAAAUCCAGGUUUGGCUUUUAACCCUUCAGACCUGUUCCUGGUACCAAAGACAGAUGAACUUUCAGGGGAGUCUGUGUCUUCAAAUGAACACCACGAUCCAGUUAAAAGUAAAGCACAAAAAAAAACUUCUAAAACAGUGGAGCCCAAUUUUGAAAGAGAGCCUCAAAAGGUGAAUUUGUUUGUUAGCACUGAACCUUUCAAUGUGCCUCUGUUGCUUAAGGCAGAGGGAGAGCAAAAAACAGAUCUCACAUCUGAAAACACAAAAGAUCAAGACAGCAUUAAUGAAACAAUAAAAGCUGAUACCGUGUUAGUAGAAAAUAUCCUUCUUUCUGAUGUAGAAAAUGCUAUGAAUUCCAACAAGGAAGAUUCCAUGGUACAUGAAAGAUUGGCACUGGAAAAAUAUGUAUUAGAUUUAACCUGUGGGAGUAAACCCACAGAGCUGAAUCUAAAAGAAACUGACAUUGAAGUAUCUGCAGAAAAAACUGAAGACUCUAUGGGCAAGGACAGAACAGAGGAAGUGCAAGUUAUAGCAACCAGUGGAUCACCUGGAGGGUUAAAUGAGGUCGAAGGGAUACUAUCGAGCUUUGAUAAUAGCAACAAGCAGGACAAGAAGGAUGCCAAUUGCAGAGGUGAUUUCAAAGAAAUCAGCUUUUCAGACAAGACUUUAAAAAGUGACAUAAAUGAAAAAGCUGUGGAAAAGCAUUUGAAUUCAGAGAGUAACUUGAAAGCAGCUGAAGAUAAUUCACUCUGUUUCCAGUGUGAACCUGAACAACAAAUGAGCAAAGAGAAAGCAAUUGCCACACACGACUUGUCCUCAAAGUGCAGCUUUCCACUUGUGGAAACUCCACAGUUAGCCAGGGAACAAUGCCCUCUGAGUUUUGAUCAUUUUAACACUGACACACAAGACAAAACUUUAGUCUUGCUAGGCUAUAAAAUGACUGAAAAGGUUUGUUCAGUUAAUGCACAUGGUUCACCGCUUCUGCACUCUCAGGACAGUAAUAUUAUGCAGACUAAGCAAGAUGAAUGCUGGGAACACACUUUUGCUAAAGAAGCUGUAUUGGAGUCAGAGUGCAAAACUAAGCAUCAAGAAAUGUUUCAAAGCAAUGAGGGGUCUGAAGAAAAUGUACUAACUCCCGAAUCAGAACUUGAACAUCAAGGCUUAAGUGAGUUGAUAGGAACUACUGACUGUGUUGCACUACAUAAAGCAAAAAUUCAGGAGGCCUCACCUAUUUGUGAAAGCAAAGAAUGGAACAGACAAGUAGCGGAGGUGCCUAAUGGUGAUCCUGCGUGCGUACCUGUAACUGUUCUUAAACAAAGCAGUGCUGUAGACAUUGAAGAAAAUAAUGAAAUUAAGCAGGAGGAAUGCAGAGCUGAAGUGGAAAGCUAUGUAGAUGAUAAAGAUUUGGCACUGAAAAAGGAAUGCACACCUGACACACCAAAGCAAGUUCAGCAGGAACAAAUGGCUGCAAAAAGUGACAAAAGUAUGCAAGUGGCACAUUCUGAAAUCUCUCAAGCAUCAGCAAAUACUGAGUUCAGUCCCCAGCAAAAGCAGUGGCGUUUAGAAGAAUCACAUGAUAGCAGCAUAACUGAGAAUAAACAGCCACCCAAGAGUGACAAAGAUGGCUCUCCAGAGACCCUUAUAAGCUAUAUUGAAAAAAAGAAAGAAAUGACAGAUGUUUCAAUAACUCUUCCACAAACAGAGCAGAGAGAGAGCCUGAACUUUGCUGCCAGAAAGAGUCAACAGCACAUUUCAAAUAUAGGAUUUGAAAAACACAAACACCACAGCAAUCUGAAUACUGUCACAAGUACUGAUGAACAGGAACAUAAAGAAAUGGCUCAGAAAAAUGAGCAUUUAGUGGAGUUAAGUUAUCACAGUGACUGUCAGGACCUAUGCAGAAGCAAAUCAGAUAUGUCUCUAGACAUUACAAGCAGCCCUCAAACAGCACCUUCUGUGCUAGAGCCAGAGCUAUUCAAAUAUAAUCCCGAUGCAGUGCCAGGGGAGGACUCAAAUGAAAGUACUGCUUGCAUGAAAGGGAACAUGUGCAACACUGAGCAUUUGCAGAAUAUUUCUGAUCUGAAGGUUGCUACUGUGCAAGACUGCACUCAACAAAAUAAAACUGACCCAGAGGCAGAAGGAAAUCGCUUCAGUAGGCAGAUCUCUAGCAAGCCCAAGCAGGAUAAUAAUUCUUUGAUCUCAGUCAGUCAACAUGAAGAAGCAUGUCAAGGUGAUGCAUUUUCAAAAGAAUCUGACACAAAUGAACAGCCAGACAGCAUAUGUAAGACAGCAGACAAUACUAAUGUAAGCAGUGCUGGUGCUCCUGACUGUAUUCCAGGGGCGCAGAAUUCAAUAAGUGUCACUGAUAUACCACAGGCUUCACUAACUGAUAUUGAAAUAACAUGUUCUGAUGAUGACUCUGAGGAAAAUAUGUAUGAAAAAAACAAGAAUGAUACUCAAAUACCUAGUUCAGAAAAAAAAGAAAAAAUGCAAACGGUGGUGAAAGGCUCAGUUCUAGAAACAAAAAAGGAUCUGACUUCAGACAGUAAAAUCAUCCCAAAAGUUGAAAAUAUAAAACUACAUUUUGAAAGGGACUCUUCUAUCAUAGAGACAAACAAUCAGAAAGUAGAUGUGAAUUCAGAUGCAAAGGAAUAUCCUUCUGCAUUACAGGAACACACAGAAGUGGCUCCCAGCAAUGCUUCAUAUACAUUAAACUGCCCCAAAAAAGCUGAGAAUGAGCAUCUGCCUGCUAGCUCUGAAACAGAAGAAUUCCCAAUUCUUUCUGCAUCGACCUUUGCAUUGGAUCAUCAUAGUGAAGCUAGCCAGCAACCUGAAAACUGUAAGAAUGAUGGUACUGUGGGUGUGUUACUAAAUAAUAAGCUGGUAGUUAAAACGUGCCAAAAUGUCUUAGAAGUUGCUUCUGAUUUGCAGAGUACAGCUGAUGCUACCGUACCUGUGCAUUUAAAAGACAUUUCACCAGGGAUAAUAAGCACAGCUGAUCAAAACAGCACUGAAGCAGCACAUUUAGAAAAUACUUCCAUGAAAGAAACAAGUAUUCCUGGCCAAAGUUUCCAGUGUGAAGGAGAGAGUAUUUCGCCAAUAUCAGAUUCUGCUGAUGCAGGGCAGUUUGCAGGAAACUUAUCACAAUUUAAUUUUGAGAAGUUAAAGAAGGAGAUAUCUGCAAUUAAAACUAAAGGAACAAAAAGUGAUGUAAACUUCAAAACACAGCAAAGUGACAGUUCAACGGAGACUCUGUUCAGUCUUCCUAGCCUAGGAGAGAGGCUGCUGAGUCUUUCAUCUGCUGGUAAACAAGAAGGAUGUAAUGAGGAAAUUGCAACAAAUAUCUGUGUAGAUGACAAGUACAGGAAGAUCUUAGAAAACUCUGGAAGUGCAGAGAAAACUGAAAAUGUUUUGAAAGAGAAUAAUAGCAUUACCAAGACAAAAAUAAAUAUUUCCAAAGAGACCGCAGAAAACUGUGAAAGGGAGAAUGAUGUUCCGAGUUCCAGGACCUUUGGUGCUGGUGCCAGCUUUCCUGAUUUCAGGGAGCAUCUCAGUAAAAUAUUUGAGAAACCUAUGCGUAACGCUGUGAAUACUGAAUUACCCCAGCUUUCAUCUGAAAUUUAUGCAAGCAGUGGGCAAAGUCCUGUGGUUAAAGGUAUACCAGUUCUGCAAAGUGCUGAGAACUUUUCAGAGCCUAACACAGUUGGUGAAGGAGUUAAUGGAAGCAUCAAUAAUGCAGGACAAGAAAAUGACUCAGAAAUAGAGAGAGAAGAGUUGCCUUUGGAUUCUGAGAUUUUUAGCAAAGUUCCCAAAGAAAAGGCAGCACAGCAAGAAGACAUGUUCAGAGAACUAAAGCUUCCAGAAAAUGAGGUACAUAAACAGCCAGGUACCUUUUCAGAAAAGAAAAUUUCCGAAUUGGAUGGUUCUAAAUCUGUUGAACUGCCUCUUACAAAUUUAAGAAAGCUGGACAACAAAAGUGGCAGCACAAAAAGCAGUCAGAUGGAAAGAGAGGAAGGUACACGUACUAGCAGUGUGAAUCUUGGAGAGCCUGUGGACCAAGAGAUAGAAAAGCUGGAAUCUGCUUCAUCGGAUGGGACCGAAGCUGCAAACUUAACUGCAUCUUAUCACAAUAAGGACCAGCCCACAAUUCCUGGGACCUCUUCAGAAGAUGCAGGCACUGUUCCAAAGAAUGAUUUAGAAAGUGCAGCCAUCCCAGAGGCAGAGGAAUGUAAUUUAAUUGUACAAAGUGAUGCAAAAUCAGAAGAUCUAAUAUCUUAUGAAAAUCAGUGUCAGGACUUUAUGCCAAAUCAGCAGAAGAAAAGUAAAGACUGUGACCCAAGCACUGUCAAUGGUACCUGCAACGUGUCAGCAUCAACAAUUGUCCAAGGAGACAUCUUCAAAACUGAAGUAAAAAGAGGUGAUCUUUGUAUGUUGUCUGAUGAAAUCCAAGAGAAAUCCGCUCACAAUAAUCUUGUGCAUGAAAUUAAGUCUAAGGAUGACACAUAUAUGAUGCUGGAUGCUUUGGGAAGUAGAAAAUGCCUGGAAAUAUUAGGAAAUCUUCAAGACGCACAGCAGGGAAAGGAAGCAACAAUACAUGGGUUAAUAGAUAACUUUAAAAAUGAUGAUCCUUCCCAGGCUGACUUUAAACAUGAACUCAGCAGUGUGACUAAGGGGGAUAUGAAGGAAGAAAGUGACACCAUGUUCAGCACAGCAGAGGCAGAAGCUUCUGUAUGUGGCAAUGAGCAACUUGGAGUCAUCCCUGAAACAGGUAUUACAGGCACAGUAUUAAUUAGUGAAGCAAGCAUUCAAGCUCAAGGGACAGAAACAAAAAAGCAUUACUCUGAAACUGUUACAGGGAUGGAGCCCGAAUCGGAUUUUAUAAGUACAGAUUUUAAUGUUGCUUCUGAAAAUCAAUGGAGCAAGAUGCAUUCAGAACACGACAGCUCACCGCUGGAUGCCAAAGGAAAGGUACCAACCCUUUCAUUUACUGAGCCUAAGAAACAUGACAUCAAUGAACUUCUGGGCAUGGUUACUGAAGGAUUCCCUACAGAAAGCAACUUCCCUGAGCCUUGUCAUUCUCUCCUUCCUGUAUCUGAAAAGGAUGCUAUAGCUGUAACAGCCAAGGCCACCUCAGAUGAGGCAAGAGAUGACAUCAGAAUAGAAAGUUCUCCUGUGCCAGGUGAUGUCAUAAAAUUGGCUUCUUCCCCUGAUUCUUCCAAACAACUGUUAGCUGAUUCUCUGCCUUGUGAAAAUGUUGCUGCUCUGGGUGCUGCUGAGCUGACUGCAGCAAGAAUAUUCUUGCAGUAUUUGGGAGAGUGUACAUGUAUUGAAAAACACCCCAUGAAUCUUAAGUAUAUUUGCAUUUCCCAGCCUGGUAGCUGCAAAGAAGUUGAGAACCCUGUUACUUCUGUUCCUGAGGAUGCUUCCUUGGCUCCUACACCAGCCGAUGAUGUAGAAUCACUUGCUCAAGACAGUGAGGGAUUGGCAAAGGAAAUAAAGAGGUAUUGUGUAAUGAUGCGUUUUAUCCAACUUCUGUCUUGGGUGUUCCCUGCUUCAGAAUAUAU
ensembl:lncRNA